rnacentral:sRNA from 1 species
GCCGGUAUGAUGCACUUACUGUGUUUGCCGGGGUCACCAGAGUUUUGUGACCCGAUGCCGCUGAUCUCGAUCUAGCAACAUCGCCUCACCCCUAGGGUUUCCUUGCACACCAGUAAGCCGCCUGCGCAUGUCGCGCGGGCUGAGUCUGAUUAAACCUGUGGAGUGAUUUAUAUGUCUGAUCGUCAGAUCGGUACCGUCAAGUGGUUCAACGAUGCCAAGGGUUUCGGCUUUAUCAGCCGUGACAACGGCCCGGAUGUUUUCGUGCAUUUCCGCGCGAUCCAGGGCAAUGGUUUCAAGAGCCUCGUCGAAGGCCAGAAGGUCUCCUUCAAGGUCGUGCAGGGCCAGAAGGGCCUGCAGGCUGACGAAGUGAUCCCGCAGUAAUUAGCGGUUUCAAAUGUUAGAAGAAAAAGCCAGGCAGCAAUGCCUGGCUUUUUUG